rnacentral:rRNA from 1 species
GACGAACGCUGGCGGCGUGCUUAACACAUGCAAGUCGAACGGAAAGGCCCUGCUUUCGUGGGGUGCUCGAGUGGCGAACGGGUGAGUAACACGUGAGUAACCUGCCCUUGACUUUGGGAUAACUUCAGGAAACUGGGGCUAAUACCGGAUAGGAGCUCCUGCUGCAUGGUGGGGGUUGGAAAGUUUCGGCGGUUGGGGAUGGACUCGCGGCUUAUCAGCUUGUUGGUGGGGUAGUGGCUUACCAAGGCUUUGACGGGUAGCCGGCCUGAGAGGGUGACCGGCCACAUUGGGACUGAGAUACGGCCCAGACUCCUACGGGAGGCAGCAGUGGGGAGUAUUGCACAAUGGGCGGAAGCCUGAUGCAGCAACGCCGCGUGCGGGAUGACGGCCUUCGGGUUGUAAACCGCUUUCGCCUGUGACGAAGCGUGAGUGACGGUAAUGGGUAAAGAAGCACCGGCUAACUACGUG